rnacentral:rRNA from 1 species
GCUGAACGCUGGCGGCGUCCUUAACACAUGCAAGUCGAACGGACAGGCUCAAGCUUGCUUGGGUACUCGAGUGGCGAACGGGUGAGAACCACGUGGGUGAUCCGCCCUGCACUUAGGGCUAAGCCUGCGAAACUGGGUCUAAUACCGGACAGGACCACAUCAUGGACGGUGUGGUGGAAAGAUUUUCGGUGUGGGAUGAGCUCGCCGGCGAUCCGCUUGUUGGUGGGGUAAUGGCCUACCAAGGCGUCGACGGGUAGCCCGCCUGAGAGGGUGUACUGCCACAUUAGGACUGUGGCACGGCCCAGCCUCCUACGGGAGGCAGCGGUGGGAGAUAUUCCACAAGGGGCGCAAGCCUGGUGCAGCGACGCCGCGUGGGGGAUGACGGCCUUCGGGUUGUAAACUUCUUUCGCUAGGGACGAAGCGCUAGUGACGGUACCUGGGGAAGAAGCUCCGGCUAACUACGUG